GCCGCCAUCGCAUAAUCCGGUAUUGCGCAGGAUUGCUAAUCCUGUUUCCGCAAGGAUAUCUGGGUUCAAAUCCCAGUGGCGGCG
rnacentral:tRNA from 1 species